GUUGUAUGGUUAAGUGACUAAGCGUACACGGUGGAUGCCUAGGCAGUCAGAGGCGAUGAAGGACGUACUAACUUGCGAUAAGCGCAGAUAAGGCAGUAAGAGCCGUUUGAGUCUGCGAUUUCCGAAUGGGGAAACCCAACUGCACAAGCAGUUACUGUUAACUGAAUACAUAGGUUAACAGAGCAAACCGGGGGAACUGAAACAUCUAAGUACCCCGAGGAGAAGAAAUCAACCGAGAUUCCGGUAGUAGCGGCGAGCGAACCUGGAUUAGCCCUUAAGCACUCGGUGAAGUAGGUGAACAAGCUGGAAAGCUUGGCGAUACAGGGUGAUAGCCCCGUAACCGACGCUUCAUCGAGCGUGAAAUCGAGUAGGGCGGGACACGUGAUAUCCUGUCUGAAUAUGGGGGGACCAUCCUCCAAGGCUAAAUACUCCUGACUGACCGAUAGUGAACCAGUACCGUGAGGGAAAGGCGAAAAGAACCCCUGUGAGGGGAGUGAAAUAGAACCUGAAACCGUGUACGUACAAGCAGUAGGAGCACCUUCGUGGUGUGACUGCGUACCUUUUGUAUAAUGGGUCAGCGACUUAUAUUCAGUGGCAAGGUUAACCGUAUAGGGGAGCCGUAGCGAAAGCGAGUCUUAACUGGGCGCUCAGUCUCUGGAUAUAGACCCGAAACCGGGUGAUCUAGCCAUGGGCAGGUUGAAGGUUGAGUAACAUCAACUGGAGGACCGAACCGACUAAUGUUGAAAAAUUAGCGGAUGACUUGUGGCUAGGGGUGAAAGGCCAAUCAAACUCGGAGAUAGCUGGUUCUCCCCGAAAGCUAUUUAGGUAGCGCCUCGGACGAAUACUACUGGGGGUAGAGCACUGUUAAGGCUAGGGGGUCAUCCCGACUUACCAACCCUUUGCAAACUCCGAAUACCAGUAAGUACUAUCCGGGAGACACACGGCGGGUGCUAACGUCCGUCGUGGAGAGGGAAACAACCCAGACCGCCAGCUAAGGUCCCAAAGUAUUGCUAAGUGGGAAACGAUGUGGGAAGGCUCAGACAGCUAGGAUGUUGGCUUAGAAGCAGCCAUCAUUUAAAGAAAGCGUAAUAGCUCACUAGUCGAGUCGGCCUGCGCGGAAGAUGUAACGGGGCUAAGCAAUACACCGAAGCUGCGGCAAUAUCUUUUAGAUAUUGGGUAGGGGAGCGUUCUGUAAGCCGUUGAAGGUGAAUCGUAAGGUUUGCUGGAGGUAUCAGAAGUGCGAAUGCUGACAUGAGUAACGACAAAGGGGGUGAAAAACCUCCUCGCCGGAAGACCAAGGGUUCCUGUCCAACGUUAAUCGGGGCAGGGUGAGUCGACCCCUAAGGUGAGGCCGAAAGGCGUAAUCGAUGGGAAACGGGUUAAUAUUCCCGUACUUCUGACUAUUGCGAUGGGGGGACGGAGAAGGCUAGGUGGGCCAGGCGACGGUUGUCCUGGUUCAAGUGCGUAGGCUU
rnacentral:rRNA from 2 species